rnacentral:rRNA from 1 species
AUUGAACGCUGGCGGCGUGCCUAACACAUGCAAGUCGAGCGGUAACAGGUGUAGCAAUACAUGCUGACGAGCGGCGAACGGGUGAGUAAUGCUUCGGAAUCUACCCAAUGGUGGGGAAUAACCAGCCGAAAGGUUGGCUAAUACUGCAUACGUCCCACGGGAGAAAGCAGGGGAUCGCAAGACCUUGCGCCAAUGGAUGAGCCGAAGUCGGAUUAGCUAGUGGUAGGGUAACGGCCUACCAAGGCGACGAUCCGUAGCUGGUCUGAGAGGACGACCAGCCACACUGGGACUGAGACACGGCCCAGACUCCUACGGGAGGCAGCAGUGGGGAAUAUUGGACAAUGGGGGAAACCCUGAUCCAGCGACGCCGCGUGUGUGAAGAAGGCCUGGCGGGUU